AAAUUAUAAGCCAGUCAGUGGUUCGUUUUUAAAUCAAGUGGGGAGGAAAUACAGUAGACGGCGGGGGCAUACGGGUUGCCGGUCACAGCGCGCGCAGAUGCCGCUGUGACGGAAGGAGAGCAGAGCCGUGGCUCGGGACUGUCAUAUUUUCCUGAUCCGUAGCUCAGGAAAUCAGUUUUCCAUUAGCCGGCGGUGCCCCGGGCUAGUAAAUGAGGAAUGGAUCCGAGGCGGAGUUGUCUCCUACCUCUUGCUACGCCUGUUGGAUCUCCAUUGACGACUGCGGCCUGCUGAGCAGUAGCGGGUGGCGCUAGUUGGGAUGGAGUUCUUGAUGAAGCCCAUUAGAAGGACGGCUGUGGUGGAGGAGGUGAACGACAACGAGCUUCCAACUGAGCCGCCACACUACCCCGCCGUCGCGGUAUCAAUUGAAGAGCUACCCCCAUGGCAAUAGCUAGCGCAGAGGGACAGAUUUGUGCAGCGGUUGGGGAAGGAGCGGCCGGGGUGUAUGUUGAACCGCCAGCAGAGCAGUCAAUUGAUCAGAUUGACCGAGAAACUCCAGGCUAGACUCGAAGGGUGAGAAUUGGAGCUGCUGCUCCAGGAUGGACGACCUGCCCUAGGCAGCCCAGCGCCCUUGAGAAAGCAAUUCGUGGAUUCGUUGACAAACCGGGUGAAAAUGUAAUCGUGCUUGCCCUGGGUACAGGCUUUGAUACACUCGGCGAGACGUACAAUUUUUACAAUCUCUACUCUUGGGAGAAGGGUUCAUGUCUCAUAAAGAAUUGCAUGAUAGAGAUGCAGCCUUUUGCUGAAGUUAAGGAUGGGCUAGGAUCGGAGGACAUGAUAGCUGAAAAUGGAGAUGUCAUCAAUCAGCUGCUGGUGCAAACGGCAAUUGCUGCUGCUAGCGGAGAUGCAACUAUUGGGAGCAGGCUUGUUGUAUUGUUGGCACCAAAGAAGCGGAAAGAGAUGGGGCGCCCAACAACUAGCCGGGAGAAAGCACCAUACGAGGGCCUUAGCAAACGGACAAGGUUCUGCGCUAUAUGUCGCCGGCAGGGGCACAAGAGGACAACCUGCCCGGACCGGGGUGACAUUCCAAAGCCUGUCCGCAAACCAGCUAGGUGCAAAGAUCAUGGCAUCGAAG